rnacentral:rRNA from 1 species
UAUCUCUGUAGAGUCUGCAUAUCAAUAAGCGGAGGAAAAGAAACUAACUAGGAUUCCCUUAGUAACGGCGAGUGAAGCGGGAAGAGCUCAAAUUUGAAAUCUUCAAGGUUCUACCUUGACGAAUUGUAGUUUAAAGAAGUGUUUUCUGUUGGAGUUUUGGUAGAAGUUCUUUGGAAUAGGACAUCAUAGAGGGUGAGAAUCCCGUAUUUGACCAUUAUUUCCAGCUUUGUGAUACACUUUCAAAGAGUCGGAUUGUUUGGGAAUGCAGUCCAAAAUGGGUGGUAAAUUUCAUCUAAAGCUAAAUAUUGGCGAGAGACCGAUAGCGAACAAGUACCGUGAGGGAAAGAUGAAAAGAACUUUGAAAAGAGAGUUAAACAGUACGUGAAAUUGUCAAAAGGGAAGCGUUUGACACCAGUGUUGUUUUUCCGAAAAUCAAUUAAGAAUGUUUUAUUUUUGAGGAGUUAUGACUUCAUCGGCUCGCUCCUUUCUUUAUGGAACUUUCUUAAUGCACUUUUCGGUUAACAAGUCAACAUCAAUUUCUUUUGUCGUAAAAGAGUCAUUGGAAGGUGGCUUUCACUUCGGUGAAAGUGUUUAUAGCCUUUGACUUCUGCAAUCGGAGAGAUUGAGGUCUGCAGCGUAGAUCCUUCGGGGUUAGAUACAUUUGUGCUAAGUUAUAGUUUUUCAUAGACAACAUGUUGACUAUGAUUAAUCAUGUAGCUUACUCGCUUAUGCUAUUUUACCUACGCUUAGGAUGUUGAUGUGAUACUGCGAGCA